GAGACUCAUAGAAAGCAUGCGAUCAAAAAAUAAGAGCUCAGACCAAAUAAGCCUUCGCAUAUGUAACUGAAAAGCACUCAGUUCGAAUACUUCACCAUCCCUAUGUAAACCCAUGGCAACCGCCAAACGAAUAGCGAGACCAAUACAAUUCCAGGCAAAGUUUGUGCGUUCAAGACGAUCGCAAAAAUACGAAUAUUGAGCCAUAAGCAUAACGGCGACAA